UACGUAGGGGGCUAGCGUUGUCCGGAAUCAUUGGGCGUAAAGCGCGUGUAGGCGGCCCGGUAAGUCCGCUGUGAAAGUCGGGGGCUCAACCCUCGAAUGCCGGUGGAUACUGUCGGGCUAGAGUGCGGAAGGGGCUACUGGAAUUCUCGGUGUAGCGGUGAAAUGCGUAGAUAUCGAGAGGAACACCUGCGGCGAAGGCGGGUUGCUGGGCUGAUGACUGA
rnacentral:rRNA from 1 species